rnacentral:rRNA from 1 species
GACGAACGCUGGCGGCGUGCUUAACACAUGCCAGUCGAACGGAAAGGCCCUGCUUUUGUGGGGUGCUCGAGUGGCGAACGGGUGAGUAACACGUGAGUAACCUGCCCUUUACUUUGGGAUAACUUCAGGAAACUGGGUCUAAUACCGGAUAGGAGCUCCUGCUGCAUGGUGGGGGUUGGAAAGUUUCGGCGGUUGGGUAUGGACUCGCGGCUUAUCAGCUUGUUGGUGGGGUAGUGGCUUACCAAGGCUUUGACGGGUAGCCGGCCUGAGAGGGUGACCGGCAACAUUGGGACUGAGAUACGGCCCAGACUCAUACGGGAGGCAGCAGUGGGGAAUAUUGCACAAUGGGCGGAAGCCUGAUGCAGCAACGCCGCGUGCGGGAUGACGGCCUUCGGGUUGUAAACCGCUUUCGCCUGUGACGAAGCGUGAGUGACGGUAAUGGGUAAAGAAGCACCGGCUAACUACGUG